ACCACGUGCCCACUGUAGCCUCCAAUGCACUUCCCCUGCGCGUGGCUGUGUGAGUGCAUGUGCAUGUGGGUGAGGAAGAGGAAGCAGGAAGCAGCAGCAGCAGCGUCUCGGCGGAGUGUCGCCCCCUUUUAGUGCCCCCUUUUCGGCGGCGGCGCCACUGUGCGAGAGAAACGGCAACAAAAACUGCUGCCGCUGUCGCUGCCACUGCCGACGGCGACGUCCGACGCCGACGUCUGCGAAUAAAAUUCGCGCAUUUGGCUCUUGAUUUGCCGCAGACAUUGAGCAUUUGAUCGCCAACAACCGGCAAACGCGGUUCGCUCACUUCGCAGCUUUCCUGGCAUUCGCCACUCUGGCCUUUUGCCGAUUUUCGGUUUAUCUCUAUCUCUGUGGGCAGGAAAAUCGGAAUCGAAUCGGCCCGGCCCGGCCAUAUAAAAUAAAAGGCCAGACAGUUUCUGGGCUUUGGCACAGUCGUUCGUUUCGCACCAAAUAGGAGACAACAACGUGGGAGAAAAGAGAGCGAGCCACUAGAGAAAAAUAAAUAUUCAAAGAAAAAUAGUUAACGCGCGUGUUGGUGUGCGUGUGUGUGUGUGUGGUGCGUGCGUGUGUGAGAGGCAAAGCCAAGGAAAAAUGCAACGGAAGUUUUCAGUCGCAAAAAAAAAGACGAAAAAUCGCAAAACGGAACUGAAACAUAUUGUGAAAUUCGAGCGACAGAGAAAGCGAUACAUCAACGUGGUUUCUGGAGCUUCUGGGUUUUUCUACCACCAGGAAUUAAAGAACGUGAAAGAACGCAGAAAAGAGAUGGGUAGAAAGAAGAGCGAGGUUUAUUUUUAGCAUUUUGAUAUCACAAGGCAGCUUUUUUUUCGCUACACUACGAGAAAAAAAUGACGCAAACGGUGACCACAUGAUUCUACAUAUUUCCAUAUAACCGACCCAUACAGACGUAGCUUUUUUGGGGAACUUUUUGUCGCUCAAAUAUUAAUUUUAGAUUUUUUUUUACCCAGACAAAGCUCAUUGUGCAAGUGUGUUGGUGUAUGAUCGAAUUUUGAGUAGAAACUUCCAUUUCUUUUCUUUUUUCAUUGCUCAGGGUUAAGGGCAACAACAAAAAACGAUGGCUCGGCUAGGAAAAAGCAUGUGCUGCAUUUUUGCUGCUGCAAAAAAAUAGAGAGGAGCGAGGAGACACCCACACAGACAUACACACACAUACACAAGCGAAGACAGUCGGUUUUUUGAGGUUAGGAAUGCCCCACCCAAGCAAUGGCUGCUCAUUUAUGUACUGCACAUAUAUACGAAAAUAUAUGUACAUAUAUAAAACCGUCUGUAGCGCAGAAAUUCGCCAUUAUUCACAGUCCAAAGCUGUUCGCGAUCGCAGGUUUAUGAGGCGUGUUGUAAAAAAAAAAGAAGCCAGUCGCGCAAAGCGUUUCAAAUAUAGAAUAUCAAGGGUCUGCCGGACGAAGCGCAAGAAAAAGAGAAUUUGCUGAAUGAAAUGUAAUAAUUCGCCGACGGAUGACGUCACGUCCUAUGUGGUCAUUAGCACUCCAGAGGCGCAACGGGGUGCCAAUUCUACCCCCUGAAUGAGUUGGUAAAACGCUUGACAAUCGAACAAAAUUAACACACAAAUUUCAGAACUUUGAAGAGUGGAACAAGACUACAGAUUGGAAAACCCCUUAAAGAUAACUAUAGAUACGCCCCUGGUUCCAGUUUUCUGCUCUCAUAUGACUAAUUUUGGCAUUGUUAUUGCAUAAAAUUCGCAUGGCGUCAUCAUCAUCAACGCGUACAACUACAAAGCUCGCAGAGAUCGUUAACCCCAAAGCGGAGACCUAAUACCAGGCACAAGGUCGCCUCCCAUGACCCCCCUCCCCAGAAGGGGGUCGCCAUUCGUUGAUGCAGUUUUGUUGCCAGGCGGCGGCUAAACAUCUGUCUCAGAACUGCAAAUGGUGAAAAAGAAACCUGACUGGGCUUGGCCUGGCUUUAUAUCUACAUCUUCAACUCCAGCCACAGCUCCUACUCGUUAUAUGCGAUGAUGUUCCCCCGACUGAACAGAGUCUCCUACCUUGCGCGCUAAUCAGUGACCGGGGCUGGUUUUUUAUAUACAGUCAGGUACCUGAAGUAGCGCGCGUGGUGCCAGACAUAUAUCUCCAACUCCACGAUAUAUAAAUAAGCCAAAAGCUCGCAGGCGAGUCCUCCAAAGAAACCCCAUGUGUAUCAACUGUCUCCCAUGUCUAUUGUACUUCAUCAGGUGCUCUGGUGUGGCCCGUAACCCGGCACAUGUUGAAGUACACUCAAUAUGAGGCGAUUUGCAUACGAAAGCGACCAAUACAAGUGUUUACCGAUUACCUAAAUUAAAGAUUAGUAAAAUAU
rnacentral:sRNA from 1 species